rnacentral:rRNA from 1 species
ACGGAGGAUCCGAGCGUUAUCCGGAUUUAUUGGGUUUAAAGGGUGCGCAGGCGGGCUAUUAAGUCAGCGGUGAAAUUCCACGGCUCAACCGUGGCGUUGCCGUUGAUACUGAUAGUCUUGAGUAUGUUUGAGGUAGGCGGAAUGUAGUGUGUAGCGGUGAAAUGCAUAGAUAUGCUACAGAACACCAAUUGCGAAGGCAGCUUACCAAAUCAUAACUGACGCUCAUGCGCGAAAGCGUGGGGAGCAAACAG